CAGCCCGACUUCACCUGCAUAUAGCCCAACUUCACCAGCAUACAGCCCAACCUCUCCUUCUUACAGCCCAACUUCACCAUCUUACAGCCCAACAUCGCCUUCUUACAGCCCUACUUCACCAUCUUACAGUCCCACAUCACCGUCUUAUAGUCCUACUUCACCCGCAUAUAGCCCCACAUCUCCUGGCUACAGCCCUACUUCACCAAGUUACAGUCCAACAUCACCAAGCUACGGUCCUA
rnacentral:lncRNA from 1 species